CCCAGUAAGUGAGGGGUCCUUGGAUAGUCAGUGCAUAGACUUUCCAGAUUUUCCUGUUUGGCUGAUGGUGCGUCUGCCUGAUCCGAAGUCACCUACACAGUCAAUUGUCUCUUCCUCCCCACACAUGGCUGACUUGACCCAGUUAUUCCAGAGUAUUGCUCAAUUUCAUUUUAGCUCCCUUAAGAGGCGAGAGAGAGAGAGAGAGAGAGAGAGAGAAAGAGAAAGAGAAAAAAGGAGGAGGAAGAGGAGGAGGAGAAGGAGGAGGCAGAGGAGGAGUAAGGGGAGGGGGAGGAGAGGAGGAGGAUGAAGAGAGAUGUUGGAACAAUCCAUCCAGGUGGCCCAGCCAGGAUCUGGCCUCCCAGAGUGCAUGUGGGUUUAACAUUCUCAGGACAAUAUCUGCCACCCUCACUGGCAGAGGGAGAGCAGAGACGCUUCAUGCACUGUUUGAAGACAGGUCUAGGCCUGGAUGGGGAAAGAGGAAGUUGAGUUUCUGUCAUCCCACCACAUUGCAAUGGGCCAGAGAGAGCAAGGAUGCGGGUCCUGGCUCCCCGAGGGUGACAUUAAAGGGAGAACACCCACCAUCGUGAGGAACAGGAGGGUGAGCAUCUGCGGCGGCAAUCAGAAGACACGGCGCCUCAACCUACACUGAGAACUUGGAGGAGUCUGACCCUCGCAGAUGCAGAAGAAAUCUGAACCCACGUGGUGGUGCAGCGGGAGACCAGGAAUCGCUCAGACUGAGGACCUACUCUCCUUAGUACCUGGAGCUGAGCCCUUUCCACCCACUGGGAGUCUCGUGCUUAUUCUGGACAGACGAUCCUGGGCUGACUCAUGUAACUCACAAACACUUCCCCCACAUUCUUCCACUCCAGCUCCU